GGUAGGGGCGACAAAGGGUUUCCUUCAAACCCUAGUUUACACACAAAAUCCUUAAAUUGAAGCCUCAAAUCUGCCCUAAAUCAAGUCUUGAACAUGAAUUAGUGAUCACCUCGUUGUAGGGAUCAAAAAGGUAAAGAAUCCGGGUCGUCAAGUGGACAAGCCGGAGGUGAUACACGCUUAAAGGGUGCGCUUUGAAGGUAAAGAUGCUCUUUAGACCCCGGAGGAUGAUCAAGCCAUGUCAAGAACCGAACACACCGAACAAAGCUUCCGCAUUUUGUCUAUUUUGUUUUACAUGA
rnacentral:lncRNA from 1 species